UUUUUUCUCCUGCAACAUUUGCUUCACAGUAGCCGCUGAAUAGACAAAUGUAUUUGUCUUUUGUAUGGCCUCCUUCUUUUCCAUAAUAUCCUGUUUUGUUGGCAUCCGCCCACCACUACGUUCCACUUCCCUCAUCCACUGUUUAUACUCCUCCUCGGUAGGUGCAGAGUCAGAAACCAUAGCCAUCUGCCACCUAGCAGCAGAGCUUUCAUUGCCCCAAACAACAUUCAGAUAUUUAUAUGUUGUUUUAUUCUCCAGUUUGUAUUGGCGGUCAGGGUCUGCAGCAUCAACAUUCCGGACCAAGCAGAGCCUGUAGAUUGGCCCAGACUUUGACCUCCCAAUCCCAACCCUCACAAAGCAACCCACAAUCAACUCUUCAAACCAUGGUUCCAUAAACCAUUUAGCAAGUUUUGACCUCCGGAUCGUGAUUUCCUUUAUGUCAUCAAACGUUGGACCCUCAGACCCCGGAUCCCUGUCCUCAUCACUGUCUCCCAUUCCACCAUCACCUGUUGACCCUUCAUCUUCACUAUGAGACCUGCUUUCACUCUCACUGCUAGAGCUACUCAGGCUUGCUGAAGUGAAGUGUUUUCGCUUGAUUGGCGAUAAACCACGACCACCUGAAGUUCCUCUAGAAACAUCCCUCAUCUUACGGUGAGCUUCUGGGUCCUGCUGCUUCAAACGUUUAGCUCUCAAUUCAUUCAAUGCAUCAUCUUUGGCAGCUGCCCUGUCUGCAGAUCUAGCCGAUGUGCGCACACCACGAGAUGAUGGAAGAGGUGGAGUCUCUUUUCUGGAUCGAGUUGGCCUCUCGCUGUCCCGUUUUGAUCUAAUUCUCUCAGUUAAGUUCUUAUCACCUUUUUUGUCUGCCCGUUCAGAUAAUAUCAUCUCCCUCUCAAGUUCACUCAUCUGAGCAAGCUUCCUCCGAUCAUCCUCAUCCUUGUAAAGAUCAUCACCAACAUCUGAUUCAUCACUGCUAUCACCCUCACGAUCAGAACCCCCAUCAUCAUAGUCACCAUCAUCCUGGCUACCCUGAUCAUCAUCUCUUUCAGUGGGGUCCAGUCUCUUCUUCAAAGGAACUUGAGAUCCAGAUGGCUUCCUGCUUGCAUAGCCACGAUCAUCAUCAGAAUCAUCAUCUCUAGAAUCACUUCCACCAUCAGAAUAUGAACCCUCACGUCGCCUCCUAGAUGGUGGAAGCGCAUUCCUAUUCCUUCCAGCUGCACCGGUUCUUCCUGCUGCCUCAAGAAGCAAAUUUUCCAAGUCUGCCAUGAUUCACAGCCACUUCCUAUAUGUUAUGAUAACUGGUACAACCUCCUGAUUAAGUCUCCAAGUGUUAAUCAACUAGUUCACUCUUCCUUUUGUCGGUUUAAAUUCCAGAUUUGCAACUGCUAGGGUUAUUUGGAUUUUGAACUGAACAUGUAAGACCCCAUUUAAAAUCCCGAUUCUUCGAUAGAGAGCUGCG
rnacentral:misc_RNA from 1 species